CAAGAUGUAGCUACAAACAAAGCACUCAGCUUACACCUGAGAGAUAUCUGCCACCCACCAGAUCAUCUUGA
rnacentral:tRNA from 2 species